GAAUUGGGCCCGACGUCGCAUGCUCCCGGCCGCCAUGGCGGCCGCGGGAAUUCGAUUGGAUCGCCCUUAGAGUUUGAUCCUGGCUCAGGAUGAACGCUGGCGGCGUGCUUAACACAUGCAAGUCGGACGAUGAAGCCCUUCGGGGUGGAUUAGUGGCGAACGGGUGAGUAACACGUGAGCAACCUGCCCUUGUCUCUGGGAUAAGCCUGGGAAACUGGGUCUAAUACCGGAUAUUCGGUUCCUGCCGCAUGGUGGGGGCUGGAAAGCCUUGUGCGGUCUUGGAUGGGCUCGCGGCCUAUCAGCUUGUUGGUGGGGUGAUGGCCUACCAAGGCGACGACGGGUAGCCGGCCUGAGAGGGUGACCGGCCACACUGGGACUGAGACACGGCCCAGACUCCUACGGGAGGCAGCAGUGGGGAAUAUUGCACAAUGGGCGGAAGCCUGAUGCAGCGACGCCGCGUGGGGGAUGACGGCCUUCGGGUUGUAAACCCCUUUCGGCGGGGAACAAGCCUUCGGGUGAGGGUACCCGCGGAAGAAGCGCCGGCUAACUACGUGCCAGCAGCCGCGGUAAUACGUAGGGCGCGAGCGUUAUCCGGAAUUAUUGGGCGUAAAGAGCUCGUAGGCGGUUUGUCGCGUCUGCUGUGAAAGCCCGGGGCUCAACCCCGGGUCUGCAGUGGGUACGGGCAGGCUGGAGUGCAGUAGGGGAGACUGGAAUUCCUGGUGUAGCGGUGAAAUGCGCAGAUAUCAGGAGGAACACCGAUGGCGAAGGCAGGUCUCUGGGCUGUAACUGACGCUGAGGAGCGAAAGCGUGGGGAGCGAACAGGAUUAGAUACCCUGGUAGUCCACGCCGUAAACGUUGGGCACUAGGUGUGGGGGGCAUUCCACGUCCUCCGCGCCGCAGCUAACGCAUUAAGUGCCCCGCCUGGGGAGUACGGCCGCAAGGCUAAAACUCAAAGGAAUUGACGGGGGCCCGCACAAGCGGCGGAGCAUGCGGAUUAAUUCGAUGCAACGCGAAGAACCUUACCAAGGCUUGACAUGGGCCGGACCGGGCUGGAGACAGUCCUUCCCUUCGGGGCCGGUUCACAGGUGGUGCAUGGUUGUCGUCAGCUCGUGUCGUGAGAUGUUGGGUUAAGUCCCGCAACGAGCGCAACCCUCGUUCCAUGUUGCCAGCACUUCGGGUGGGGACUCAUGGGAGACUGCCGGGGUCAACUCGGAGGAAGGUGGGGACGACGUCAAAUCAUCAUGCCCCUUAUGCCUUGGGCUUCACGCAUGCUACAAUGGCCGGUACAAAGGGUUGCGAUGCUGUGAGGUUGAGCCAAUCCCAGAAAGCCGGUCUCAGUUCGGAUUGGGGUCUGCAACUCGACCCCAUGAAGUCGGAGUCGCUAGUAAUCGCAGAUCAGCAACGCUGCGGUGAAUACGUUCCCGGGCCUUGUACACACCGCCCGUCAAGUCACGAAAGUCGGUAACACCCGAAGCCGGUGGCCCAACCCUUGUGGGGGGAGCCGUCGAAGGUGGGACUGGCGAUUGGGACUAAGUCGUAACAAGGUAGCCGUAAAGGGCGAUCCCAAUCACUAGUGAAUUCGCGGCCGCCUGCAGGUCGACCAUAUGGGAGAGCUCCCAACGCGUUGGAUGCAUAGCUUGAGUAUUC
rnacentral:rRNA from 1 species